CCAAGGGAAUGAUAUAAAGAGAGGAGAAGGAGGGGCUAUUGUUAACAUCUCAAGCAUGACGACCAAUGUGGCAUUCCCCGAGCACACGUCAUAUUGUUCAUGUAAAAGGGGUGAUUCGGCGCAAUUUAAUAUGUAGCUAUCCGAGCCCCUGAGGGUCAAAUGAGUUCGGGAUUGUUAAAAUCAAUUCAACAAACAGCUUUAAGGUUGCAAUCCAAUCUUCAAUUACUGUAAGGUUGUUAUAAGAAGUCGAUUCUAUAGGUACAAACAACACUCUGCAAUAAGUAUAUAACAAUAUGUAAAUAUAAAGUAAAAUAAAGUAGAAACAAUGCAUUACAUGAAUUAAUAUCAUAUCGUAUGUUAACAUAAUCAAUAACAUGUCUAGUGGCCAAUUCAGUUCUUUAAACUGCAGCAACAGUCCUUAAAUAUCAUAUCAUAGCUUAUGGAAUUAUACGCACAAUUAACAUAUAUUACACAAUACAUCACACAUGAACUUACCAUCUGAGGGAUGAGUGUAGUACAUAAAUCUAAUAAUUACUUCUCUGACUAUCACACCAUUAAUAGUGAAUAAAGAUGAAAGGUGAUUUGAUAGAUAUUGUCAUUCUGAAACUCAUACUUAUUUACAAAUUUCGCAAAAAAUGUACUGAAUCAAAAUAGAACAGAAUCACAAUUAUGCAAUUCCACAUGUUUACAAUAAAGCAUUAGCAACAGUCGGGAUAAAUACAAAUAAAGAACUUGACAACACACACUUAUUUUCUAACCUCUCUUCUUUACAACAUAACAAAGACACAAUGACUUUUUCCUACCAAGAAAUCACAUGACAUAAAAAUAGCUUAAAACCAACGAUCCGUGAACCAAUCAUUUGAAUUCUUAGAAUACUGACCAAUGUAAAACAUAAGAACCAAUAGAGUAAUCUCCCUUGACAAGUAUCAGACAAGACUGGCGGAUUUGUCUCCCUUUGCAAAAUUAUAAAAUUUAAAAGUAAAGCAAGAGUAUUGUCCCUUAGACCUGGUCUUAAAAAUAAGACCCUGUUACAUUCAUCAAAGGGUGCUGUCGAUACACUUACAAGAGUUAUGGCACUUGAACUUGGACCACAUCAGAUCCGUGUCAAUACCAUCCAUCCAACUAUUGUGAUGACAGAAAUGCCAGGGCAGACGAGCCUGGGAAGACCCGCAGAAACACAUGAAAUAUCUUGUUCGAACACCAAUUGGACAUUUUGCUGAGCCCACGGAUGUUUCGGAUGGGACGGUGUUCUUGCUGAGUGACAUGGAGAAAAUGAUAAACGGCACGAUCUUGCAUAUUGAUGGUGGUCUCACAUCCAACUAACUUGCUAUAUAAUCCGAAAUAGACACUGUUAGAAUUUUAAUUUUCGAGACUUUCAUUCUUUAAAUACAAUGAUUUAUUAUUUGGAAGAAAAUUUUGUCAUAAAAACAUUUAUAAUACAGUUUAUCACGGCUUUAAUUACAGCCGUGAGUAUAUCUAUUUGUCAAGUAGAACUGUUAACUAGGUAGUUGCUCUACUAUCUAAUACUAUCUACUAGUAUAUAUUAACGUCAUGCAGUACGGUCGUCUCUUUCAAAUAAAAAAUACAC